UACGUAGGGUGCGAGCGUUGUCCGGAAUUAUUGAGCGUAAAGAGCUCGUAGGCGGUCUGUCGCGUCGAUCGUGAAAACUUGGGGCUUAACCCUGAGCUUGCGGUCGAUACGGGCAUGACUGGAGUUCGGCAGGGGAGACUGGAAUUCCCGGUGUAGCGGUGAAAUGCGCAGAUAUCGGGAGGAACACCAAUGGCGAAGGCGGCUCACUGGCCCGGUACUGACGCUGAGGUGCGAAAGCGUGGGGAGCAAACAGG
rnacentral:rRNA from 1 species